rnacentral:lncRNA from 10 species
AUCCUAGAACAUUGACAUUAGAAGGAGCUUCACAUUUGUGAUUCCUAAUGGCCUUCACAGUCAUUCUUUUGGUUGUAAAUGGUCCUUUUAAAUAUUAUCAGCUAUCUAAACUCUCAUUAUAUACUUAGUUUUUUAUUUUCCUCAGCCAAUAUGGUUUAUGUAUAUCAAAAACUAUUUCAAAUCUUGAAAGAAUACUCUGCAUUUUCACCUACAAAAUAAACAUAAAUAGUUCUGUGUACUCAUCUUAACUGUAAACUUUGGUUUUCUUGGUUGUCAUAACCUCCUAGCCUUUCACCUUAGUGACAUAAUUUUGCAUUUUAAUUGUCCUUUUAAGAUAAUUAAAUAUAUGUAUAUAUAUAUUUCAAUAUCUACUUCUUACUAACACUUUAGUGACUCCAAAGGUAGAAAUUUGGAAGCUUGAAAGGUGAGAUUAGAUCUCAGCAAUGUAAAUUUGUGGGCUCUUUUUGGUAAGCACUACUGCACAGAAGGUAGGAAAAGAAGCUCAUUUAUCACAUUCUACCUCAUAUGUACAACCCAGGUUAGAUUGGCUUUGCCUGAUAUUAAAAUAGCAAAAUGUUUCUGAGAACCAAAUCCAAAACAUUUUCUUUGAUCCACCAAGAGCUCUGUUACUCCAGAUAAAUCACAAGACAACUUCUAACUCCUCAUUCAUCUGCUUAUUAGUUCCCUUUUCUCUGCACUAUAUGUAAUCCCUUCACAUAAUCCCCUCCAUGGUAACUCUGCUAAAUCACAAAAAUAUAUUUCUUUUCUAAAUUACAAAGGCAUAACUUAAAGUUUAUCAAACAGAUUUACAUGGUACACUGGCUCAAAUGACAUUUAAAUUUGUAUCCCCAAGAAGCUGACCCUUACAGUGUCUCUUGAUAGCUAGUCACUUGAUCUAAGAAAUCUUUUGCAUGUCACUAGCACUAUCUUAGAACUUUAACCCAAUUAAAUUAUCCUUAUGGAAAACUGUCCUUUUGGUGCACAAAGUUAUUUACUGGCUAUCCAAAUGGCAAAACAAAGUAAAACUAUGCCCUUGCCUCAUUGCAUUGCACUCUGGGUAAAUAAAAAGUAGCAUAUUCGUUUCUGAAUACCCAUAACUGCUUUUGGUUUGGUGUUUUUUCACCUUCCUAACUUGAAAGUGUAAUGAUCUCUUGAAGACCCAGACAGUUAUGAAAAUUAAAGAAUGAAAAAUAAUGUUUUACAUCCCAUUAAAAACCAGAUUAUUCUUUCUGGAACUUGGCAAAGAAUAAUUCAAAUUACUACCUAAUUCUAGUUUCCCUUUUAAAAAAAAGUUCAAACAACUGACAAGAAACCAAGAAAAUUUAUCCCCUUUUACUCUUCCAAAUAGUUUUCCCUUUUACUGGAUAAAAGUUAUAGUAGCUCAGCUAAGAUUUAGCUCUUUAUUCGCUCCACAGGAGUUUUUGUCACUAAAACAGCACCAACAACUUUUCAUGUAUAUCAGGUUUUGAAUUUAAGUCUAAUUAUAAAAUCAUUGCAAAUCAGAUCCUAUAGUCCUGCAGGGCUUGAUUUCUGACUCUGUGUCUUUUCCCACUAUGCCAUAUUUAGUACUCAGCAUAACUGGCAUCUUGAAUGAACCCUUUCUUCCCCUGUUUUGGGAAGGUCCUGUUGACAAUCUAUAUUCUAAUAUUGUCAGAAUAUUGGAAGAAGCCUAAAAUUCCUUGAUUCAAGGGAGUGAUAAGCUAGUGUAUUAACAGAGAAAUUGGGCCUUUCUCAAGGCUAAAAUAAUUAGGGACCCUUAAGGUGAGUGUUCAUAUCAUUAUAAAAUCCCAGGAAGCACCAUGGAAUGUUUGAAAGAGGCAGUUGAGGUGAUAUUAGGACAAUAUAUGUACAGGGGCACUCAAGGGAGUGCCCAAAUGGAUGACAGGAGAUCUGGUUAGUUUGUACAGUCUUUUCUCUUGUCAAGUGCAUUAUUUAUCAAUAAACUUUAGAAUAUCCAUUUUUUUGCUUACUUGCCAGAAAGACAAAAUAUUGACUAGUUGAUUAGAAUAUCAUCUGCUUCGUUAUUUCACUUUUUACUAUAUAUUAUUCAACUGGUUUUCUGGUACAGAUUCUUUUCUGGUGAGUUUGGGCAAGACGAGCUAGUUUCCCUGUAGCCCAAACCCCAUACCCUUUCCUCUCAGCUCCAAACCAUCCCUGAAAACAUAAAUUGACAAAAGAUAGAAGUUUCUAAUAUGAAUGCAUUGGAAGCCUCAACUCUGGGAUAGAGAAAUACUGCAACCUCAAAGUCUUGUUUAUUAAGCUAUUCCUCAAUAUUGCAAAUAUGGUUAUGGUACUUUAAAAGUAGACACUAUAAAAAAAAGUAGAUACUAUAAUCACCUUGACUGUGUCUCCAUAUAACUGUUGAAUAAUUUGACUAAUUAAGAAUCUUACAAUCUGGGAAUUGAAAGAGACCCUAAAGAUUGUGUAGUUCGGACUCCCAUACAUUGUUUGAUUACCCUCUAGGGCUUUCUGCCAAGUGGCUACUUAACCUGUUCUUAAAAAUGACAGGAACUCGCUCUCACUCUCCGUCUCCCUCUCCCUCUCCCCACGGUCUCCCUCUCCCUCUCUUUCCACGGUCUCCCUCUGAUGCCGAGCUGAGGCUGGACUGUACUGCUGCCAUCUCGGCUCGCUGCAACCUCCCUGCCUGAUUCUCCUGCCUCAGCCUGCCGAGUGCCUGCAAUUGCAGGCGCACGCCUCCAUGCCUGACUGGUUUUCGUAUUUUUUUGGUGGAGACAGGGUGUUGCUGUGUUGGCCGGGCUGGUCUCCAGCUCCUAACCGCGAGUGAUCCGCCAGCCUCGGCCUCCCAAGGUGCCAGGAUUGCAGACGGAGUCUCAUUCACUCAGUGCUCAAUGGUGCCCAGGCUGGAGUGCAGUGGCAUGGUCUCUGCUUGCUACAACCUCCACCUCCCAGCCGCCUGCCUUG